rnacentral:rRNA from 1 species
UACGUAGGGUGCAAGCGUUGUCCGGAAUUAUUGGGCGUAAAGAGCUCGUAGGCGGUCCGUCACGUCGGCUGUGAAAACCUGGGGCUCAACCCCGGGCCUGCAGCCGAUACGGGCGGACUAGAAUUCGGUAGGGGAGACUGGAAUUCCUGGUGUAGCAGUGAAAUGCGUAGAUAUCAGGAGGAAUACCGAUGGCGAAGGCAGGUCUCUGGGCUGACACUGACGCUCAUGCACGAAAGCGUGGGGAGCAAACAGG